GUGUGCAAGAUGGGCACGCUGCAUGACAGACAGGCUUUCACAUGAUUACAACAGCUAGUUCCACAAAACAGUUAUCAGAGAAAACAGAAAUGUUAAAAGCGAUGAGGCUCUGAUCCUAAUCUGGGGCUUUCUGUCUCCUCCUUCAUACAUGGGGCCCCCCCGGCUGGUGAAGAGUCUAAUGAAGAAGGAACAGACACAGUCUCACCUGUGCCUUUCUGGCGCGCCAGCCUCUAAUGCUGAAAGGUCAUUAUAAUCCAUGGGAAGAUGCUGCACAGAACCCGCUCGCUGCACUCAUUUGCCAGGUGCAGGGAGCACAGAGCGGGGGAGGAGGGACGGUCCUUAUCCCUAUGAGGGUGGAGCAACAGGGGGGAGGUGAAGAAAGCGGAUGAAGCAGCAUUUGAAGCUCAUACUGACAUGCUGCUCUGCAGGUUCCUGUGAGCACAGCCAUGGAUGGUGUCUUGGAAGCAGCCACAGUGUUGUGUUUAUGUAAGCUGGCCUGCAGUCUUCCCUUCCUGCCCUCACUGGCAGCCUCCAACAGUCCCGUCAGUUUUUGCUGCUGCUGCCUCCUGGUCUUCACAGACUUCCUGGUCACAGUUUUUCUCAGCUUCCUCUGCAUCUCUGAGUCCUGGCUCCCUGAACUGACACCACAGGCAGAUGUCAUCGCCCUGCGCUUCCUGCUCUUCCUCAGCCACACCUAUGGCGUGGUGCUGCUUCUGACCACGCCUCUGAUCGCCGUGGAGACAGUGAUGAGACUGAUGUGGCCUGUUGUCGCUUACAGGAGUCAGACAGCGGGCUCUGAAGGACAGAAUGUGGCGAACGUGGACGAAGAGGAGAGAGACGACGCAGAUAAAGGUGAAGACAAGAGGUCGCCUCAUGUUGUCGGCUACCUCUGCUGCCUGUCAGUGUGGGUCAUCGUCGGUCUCAACGUCAGGUGGAGAUGGAAGAUGGAGGAGGUGUGGGUAGCUGCCUGUGUGGACACAACUAACCUACUUGUCAGGUGUCUGCCCAACCUGCUCAGCCCAAUGCCCACUGCUGUCAAUCCCUGCUGGGGUAUGGCCUUCCUCCUGCUCCUCCUCCUCCUACUGACCACCGGCAUGAGCCUGCAAAGAAGACACAGGGAUGGAACACAAAGAGUUAAUCAUAAGUGCUGGCAAGGCCUGGUUCCAGUAUCGUCUGCACCGUUCAGUCCUAUGAAUCCUGGGAUGUUGCCAUGUGUUGACCCAGAGAAAACAGAGAGCAGCUGCACCGUUCACAGAGCGGAUUCCUGGAACAGUGUGCAGAUGUCAGUGUGUCACCAUGGAGACUUUGUCCUCCUCUCCCCUGCAUGUCUCUCUGGAAAGAGGGGAGGACAGGAGCACGAAAGAACAAAGAGAGGUAUACCUCUGACAUUUAUCACAGAGCAACAGCACGUGGACUCGGGGCCCAGGAGUUGGUGUGGGUGGCGACGGUGGUGGGGCUUUCCCUGCUUGGGGGUGAAUGUAAUGAUAGGUUCUGUGGGUGUGCUCACCAUUUUUGUGCUGCCGCUGAACCUCAGUGUGAAUAUUCUUCUCAUCAGGACUAUAGAGACUCUGCUGGAGUGGUGUGUUGUAACUUUAAUUUCACCUGUGGGAAACACAAGAGACACAUUCAGCUCACACAGGGAAGCAGCAGUUUAACAAGAGACACGUGAGAAGACAAAGUAGAGGCUGAUAGGCUGAAGAUUGCAACAGGAUCAUCAGAUUAAUAUUACAUGUGUGCAGACAGCGGGUAUACCUGUUAACACCGGCUUUGAAUAGAAUGUGAAUAAACAUUUGUGAGCAGCAGCUAUUCACAUGUGAGGAAUAAUAUGUGGAAACUGCUGAAAGGUGCUGAGGAGGCAGGUUGAGGCGUGCUGGGCAGAGUGAGACCUGACAGGAACAGAUGGUGGAAGGCCUUCUUUUAUGGAUCUGAAGCUGUUUGUCAAUACACAAUGGGGUACGAAACAAGCCUCACCCAUUUAAAGAGGACUAAUCGGGAGUUAAACUGUUAUGAUGUGAAGUCUGCUGACGCUGCAGCACAUACAAGUUGCAUAAAUAAAUACUUAGUGACUUCAGGGUGCUGCUGAGACUUUAGUUUUUAUACCUGCACUUAGGUCCAAUGACCUGCUCCUCAAAGGUUUGAUGUUUACUCGUGCUUAAGUUCACAUUAAAGGUAGGAGCUCCACCACAUUUGAAGCUCUAAGGUUACAUUUAAAGCAACAAUGCAAAUAUUCACUCUCCCCCUGCUGGCAAGAAGCAAAUGAGUGAACUCAGCUCAGACUGUCCUCGCUGACCUUUUGGAAUGAGAGCUAAACCAGCAUGGCCCUUAGAAAGUGACAGAGAAAAUGCAAGCAAGCUGGCUAGCAAAGGUUAAUUUUUUAUUUGCAUAUAGUAUUCUAGAGCAUUAGAGAUGGUUUAAAAGUAGCCUUUGCUUCUGUUUUAGGCUGUAAUCUAAUCUAACUUUGUUUUUUUAUUUAUCUGAACCAUCAGAACAUUUUAUUGGACUUUAAACACAGAUGUAAACCUCGCUAUCCUGUGAAGUACAAAGAGGUCCAUGCAACAGUCUCAUGAGUCAUGAGAAUCCCUCAGAAGUCAGAGCGACAACUCAGC
ensembl:lncRNA